UGAGGAAUAUUGGUCAAUGGGCGCAAGCCUGAACCAGCCAUCCCGCGUGAAGGAUGAAGGCCCUAUGGGUCGUAAACUUCUUUUAUACACCAAGAAAAAGCAGGACGUGUCCUGCCCCGACGGUAGUGUAUGAAUAAGCAUCGGCUAACUCCGUGCCAGCAGCCGCGGUAAUACGGAGGAUGCAAGCGUUAUCCGGAUUCAUUGGGUUUAAAGGGUGCGUAGGCGGCUUUUUAAGUCAGUGGUGAAAUCUUGCCGCUUAACGGUAAAAUUGCCAUUGAUACUGAGAAGCUUGAGUACAUUUGAGGUAAGCGGAAUGUGUAGUGUAGCGGUGAAAUGCUUAGAUAUUACACAGAACACCAAUUGCGAAGGCAGCUUACUAAACUGUAACUGACGCUGAUGCACGAAAGCGUGGGGAGCGAACAGG
rnacentral:rRNA from 1 species